rnacentral:rRNA from 1 species
UACGUAGGGACCAAGCGUUGUCCGGAAUCAUUGGGCGUAAAGCGCGUGUAGGCGGUUCUGUAAGUCUGCUGUGAAAGUCCAGGGCUCAACCCUGGGAUGCCGGUGGAUACUGCAGGGCUAGAGUACGGAAGAGGCGAGUGGAAUUCCCGGUGUAGCGGUGAAAUGCGCAGAUAUCGGGAGGAACACCUAUUGCGAAGGCAGCUCGCUGGGACGUUACUGACGCUGAGACGCGAAAGCGUGGGGAGCAAACAGG